GGCGACGUCGCCAAGUGGUAAGGCAGAGGUCUGCAAAAUCUCUAUUCACCAGUUCGAAUCUGGUCGUCGCCU
rnacentral:tRNA from 1 species